rnacentral:rRNA from 1 species
GAUGAACGCUGGCGGCGUGCCUAAUACAUGCAAGUCGAGCGAACAGACGAGGAGCUUGCUCCUCUGACGUUAGCGGCGGACGGGUGAGUAACACGUGGAUAACCUACCUAUAAGACUGGGAUAACUUCGGGAAACCGGAGCUAAUACCGGAUAAUAUAUUGAACCGCAUGGUUCAAUAGUGAAAGACGGUUUUGCUGUCACUUAUAGAUGGAUCCGCGCCGCAUUAGCUAGUUGGUAAGGUAACGGCUUACCAAGGCAACGAUGCGUAGCCGACCUGAGAGGCUGAUCGGCCACACUGGAACUGAGACACGGUCCAGACUCCUACGGGAGGCAGCAGUAGGGAAUCUUCCGCAAUGGGCGAAAUCUUGACGGAGCAACGCCGCGUGAGUGAUGAAGGUCUUCGGAUCGUAAAACUCUGUUAUUAGGGAAGAACAAAUGUGUAAGUAACUAUGCACGUCUUGACGGUACCUAAUCAGAAAGCCACGGCUAACUACGUG